CGUACUUGCAUUGAAAAGCACCAUAGAUGCAUUGGCGUCCGUUGGAGAACCGAUGAGAGAAAGCGAUCAUGUGAAUGCAAUUCUAAAUGGCCUAACAGAAGAGUAUGGAUCCGUAAUCACAUCAGUAGUUGCAAGACCGGUUAGCAUCACAGUUGGUGAACUUGAAGCACUUCUACUAACACACGAAAGCAUGCUUGAAAGGUUCAGAAGACCAGAAGCAUUAGUCCAGGCUAAUCUUGCUCACACAAGAGGUGGAUUUUGAGGAGGAAGAUUAGGCAGAGGAGGAAGACCUUCAUACAAUGACAACAACAGAUUUGAGCAAGGAAGACAAUUUCAGAACAGCUAUUUCCAGAAGAACAACUUCCAGAACAGUAAUUUCCAAAACAAUAAUUUCCAGAAUGGUGGCAAUUUUCAAAUUUUUCAGAAUAACUCAAGAUCUACUUCACAGUACAAUGACAAUUCAAGAUUCACUCAAAGAGGCCACAAUGAAAAUCCAAGAUUCAUGCAGAAUGGUGAGCGACAUGUGUGCUAAGUCUGUGAUAAGAUUGGCCACACUACCAAGAAUUGUUAUUAUAGAUAAGAAAGGGACAACAACUAUGGAGCUGACUUGAGGCCUGAAAUGCACAACUCACAAGAUUCACAAGCUAGCCAAUCUUCUUCUCAACCACCUCAUGCACUACUUGCAACUCCAGCAACUAUUCAUGGUUCAAACUGGUAUUUGGACUCUGGAGCAACCCACCAUAUGACCUCAGAUCAACAAAAUCUGAUGGAAGGACAAGCCUAUGAAGGAUCAUACCAAGUGAUCGUAGGGAAUGGUUCAGGAACCAGCGAAGUAGUUAUCCAGGGAGUAGUCGAAAAUGGAAUGUACAAAUUUCUUCACUUCAAACCAUCAACCAAGUCUGCUUGUGUCUCAACAUUGUGCAGCAAGGACAGCUUCUUGCUCUGGCAUAAUAG